rnacentral:lncRNA from 1 species
GAGUUAGUGAGCACCUUGCAGACACACAGGAUGUACUUCUCCAAGAUGGUGCAAUGGAGCAGAAACAGCUCAUGUCCCUAAUAAGAAGCCACGAGGGACCUCAUUGCUUAUUGAAGAGUCUUGCAGCAUACUUUGUUCGUUGGUCUUUUCUUAAUGGUUGGCUAUUUCUCCUCCAAUUCAAGAACAUUGCAACUAUUAGGUACCAUUCAGAGUCAAUGCGGACCUGAACACACAACUGGCCACGGAGGGAGGCCCUUCAUAAACAGAUCUUGCUGAGUUUAAUCAGAAUCUGCCUCAUGCACAUAGACACAGAUCCUCUUAGAGAUGAAAAGAACAUUAAAAUCUAACAGAACAAAGACCGUGACCACCCCAGACACACAUCCCACAACUCCAAGCUAUGUGUGUCCAGAAGAGAAACAAAACAAAAUUUAUGGCUUUUGCUCUAGUAAUUCCUGCCACCCACUGAUCUAAGUCAUUCUUGAACACGAUUAUGAGUGUUUUCAUACAUAUGUGAUGCAUUGAGUAACUGAAUGGAUCCCAUCUGGGAGAUAUAUAAAGUGGACACUGAAGUGACUCAUCAGGCAGCUGCAGAGAAUACACAGAUGAGAAUGGCAGGGAACUCCACCAUGAAGAUGCUGAGCAUCAUCCACACCAUUUCCAGAAGAUGGAAAAAGCCACAUGACUGUGGAACACCACAAAAUUGAGGAAGAGUUUGAAGCUCACGGCUGCCAGAGUGAAACCUUGGGCUCUGGUAUUAGCUGCCUUGUACAUGGCUGAUUGGAACACAAAGGAAAAUAAUCUUGUAAGUUGUU